rnacentral:lncRNA from 10 species
CUCCUUUUUCCUCUCUGUGGAAAUCUCUGUUUCUAGCUCCUGGCCCAAGGCUACACUUCUCAGCCUGUCAGAAUGGCCACCCUGCAGGCUGUAACCCCUUAUGAGAAGGAAAACUCUCCUUUCCAAACGUAUGAACCUCAUCAUUCUUCAGUUGACAUGAUUGGUAAUGAGGAUGGGAUCUGCAGAGAGCACCAGUUUCUCCCAGCAUGAUUGGAAGUCAAUGCAUCAAGGUCUUCAGCUCAGCUGUCUCCCCAGCUGACCACACAGGGAGGAAGCCAGUCCCUGUCCUGGUUCCCUCCAUCUGGACUCUGGAGGGAAUGUCUUUGUUGGCCCAGGUUUAGGAGGGGAACUUCCCAGUCCAGUCAGAUUCAGCUGGUCCAUAAGAUUUUAUGAGGACUCUCACACUAAGGACACUCUAAGGAACCCUUCCUAAGGCUCUCUCUCUCUUUGCCUGCCGCCAUUCACGGAAGAUGUGACUUGCUCCUCCUUGCCUUCCGCCAUGAUUGUGAGGCCUCCCCAGCCACGUGGAACUGUGAGUCCAAUUAAACCUCUUUGUUUUGUAAAUUACCCAGUCUCAGUCUCAGGUAUGUCUUUAUCAGCAGCAUGAAAACAGACUACAAUACAAGCUGUCAUUGAGGUGAUUCUGGAUCUUGUGACGACUACCUUGCACCUGUUUGGAGAUGUCUCAUGCAUCCUUGGUUAAGUCAUAACCUUGGUUAAGGUUUGUUGGUUUCACUUGGAAAGUUAUCUUUGGUAAAGAAGUUCAAAAGCCAGAAAUAUAAGCUGUUUGUCCUGGCUAAAAUCUGUUAAUAAGAUAUUUAAAUGGAUUUUUUUUUCUUUUAAAGAGCUCCAAGGUUAGAAGUCAGAUUAAUUAAAAGCUGAUUGCAAGCUAUAAUUAUAUUUUUUAAAAAGUCUUUAUGCUGGCCAGGUGUGGUGGCUCACACCUGUAAUCCCAGCACUUUGGGAGGCCAAAGCGGGUGGAUCACGAGGUCAGGAGAUCGAGACCAUCCUGGCCAACAUGGUGAAAUCCCAUCUCUACUAAAAUACAAAAAAUUAGCUGGGUGUGGUGGUGCACAUCUGUAGUCCCAGCUACUCGGGAGGCUGAGGCAGGGGAAUUACUUGAACCCAGGAGGCAGAGAUUGCAGUGAGCCGAGAUCAUGCCUUUGCACUCCAGCCUGGUGACAGAGCCAGACUCUGUCUUUAAGAAAAAAAAAAAAAAAAAAAGCUUUUAGGCCUUUUUCCUUUUCAGAUCCUGUUUUUGAAAAAUAUUCUUCUCAAUCAACUGAUUUUUGUCUGUUUCUCCACUUAUUUGUGUCUGUCCUUCCUUCCUCUUGCCACCCCUAAUGCUUACUUGAGAGGACCUGAAAUAGUUUCUAACAGCCUACAGAGCUGAAAGGAUAAAAUAGAAUGAUGUGUAUUUGCAGAUGACAUGACUGUUCACAUAGAAAAUCUCAAGGAAUCUACAAAAAACAAACAAACAAAAAAAUUCC